GAUGAACGCUAGCUACAGGCUUAACACAUGCAAGUCGAGGGGCAGCAGGACGAUAGCUUGCUAUUGUCGCUGGCGACCGGCGCACGGGUGAGUAACGCGUAUCCAACCUUCCCCUUAGUAGAGGAUAGCCCGGCGAAAGUCGGAUUAAUACUCUAUGUUGUAUUUUGAGGACAUCUGACGAAUACCAAAGAUUUAUCGCUAAGGGAUGGGGAUGCGUCUGAUUAGCUUGUUGGCGGUGUAAGAGACCACCAAGCCGACGAUCGGUAGCCGGUCUGAGAGGAUGAACGGCCACAAUGGAACUGAGACACGGUCCAUACUCC
rnacentral:rRNA from 1 species